UACGGGGGGUGCAAGCGUUAUCCGGAUUCACUGGGUUUAAAGGGUGCGUAGGUGGGCAGGUAAGUCCGUGGUGAAAUCUCUGAGCUUAACUCAGAAACUGCCGUGGAUACUAUUUGUCUUGAAUAUUGUGGAGGUGAGCGGAAUAUGUCAUGUAGCGGUGAAAUGCUUAGAUAUGACAUAGAACACCAAUUGCGAAGGCAGCUCACUACACAAUUAUUGACGCUGAGGCACGAAAGCGUGGGGAUCAAACAGG
rnacentral:rRNA from 1 species